rnacentral:rRNA from 1 species
GACGAACGCUGGCGGCGUGCCUAAUACAUGCAAGUCGAGCGAACCAAUAAGAAGCUUGCUUUUUGUUGGUUAGCGGCGGACGGGUGAGUAACACGUGGGUAACCUGCCUGUAAGACCGGGAUAACUCCGGGAAACCGGUGCUAAUACCGGAUAGAUUAUCUUUCCGCAUGGAGAGAUAAGGAAAGAUGGCUAUUGCCAUCACUUACAGAUGGGCCCGCGGCGCAUUAGCUAGUUGGUGAGGUAACGGCUCACCAAGGCGACGAUGCGUAGCCGACCUGAGGGGGUGAUCGGCCACACUGGGACUGAGACACGGCCAAGACUCCUAAGGGAGGCAGCAGUAGGGAAUCUUCCGCAAUGGACGAAAGUCUGACGGAGCAACGCCGCGUGAGAGAAGAAGGUCUUCGGAUCGUAAAGCUCUGUUGUUAGGGAAGAACAAGUAUCGGAGGAAAUGCCGGUACAUUGACGGUACCUGACGAGAAAGCCACGGCUAACUACGUG